rnacentral:rRNA from 1 species
GACGAACGCUGGCGGCGUGCUGAACACAUGCAAGUCGAACGGUAAGGCCCUUCGGGGUACACGAGUGGCGAACGGGUGAGUAACACGUGGGUGAUCUGCCCUGCACUUCGGGAUAAGCCUGGGAAAAUGGGUCUAAUACCGGAUAGGACCACUUCCUGCAUGGGUGGUGGUGGAAAGCUUUUGCGGUGUGGGAUGGGCUCGCGGCCUAUCAGCUUGUUGGUGGGGUGAUGGCCUACCAAGGCGACGACGGGUAGCCGGCCUGAGAAGGUGACCGGCCACACUGGGACUGAGAUACGGCCCAGACUCCUACGGGAGGCAGCAGUGGGGAAUAUUGCACAAUGGGCGCAAGCCUGAUGCAGCGACGCCGCGUGAGGGAUGACGGCCUUCGGGUUGUAAACCUCUUUCAGCACCGACGAAGCGCAAGUGACGGUAGGUGCAGAAGAAGGACCGGCCAACUACGUGCCAGCCGCCGCAGUAA